rnacentral:ncRNA from 1 species
CAAAGGCAUGGUCCCGACCUUUUAAUCAGCUAUAACCCAACUUACACAUGCAAGUCUCCGCAACCCUGUGAGCAUGCCCUCAGUCCUCUCACCCGAGGAAGAGGAGCGGGUAUCAGGCACAAGCUUUAGCCCAAGACACCUAGCCUAGCCACGCCCCCAAGGGGAUCCAGCAGUGAUAAACAUUAAGCAAUGAGUGAAAGCUCGACUCAGUUAGGGUUACAAAGGGCCGGUAAAUCCCGUGCCAGCAACCGCGGUUAGACGGGAGGCCCUAGUUGAUUAACUCACGGCGUAAAGGGUGGUUAUGGGGAACACAAAAUAAAGCCGAAUGGUCCCUCGGCCGUUAUACGCUUCUGGACACUUGAAGCCCACUCACGAAAGUAGCUUUAGAAAAUCACCUGAACCCACGAAAGCUAAGAAACAAACUGGGAUUAGAUACCCCACUAUGCUUAGCCGUAAACUAAAACACCAAACUACAACGAUGUUCGCCUGGAUACUACGAGCACCAGCUUAAAACCCAAAGGACCUGACGGUGUCUUAGAUCCCCCUAGAGGAGCCUGUCCUAGAACCGAUAAUCCCCGUUAAACCUCACCAUUUCUCGUUAACAUCAGCCUAUAUACCGCCGUCGCCAGCUUACCCUAUGAAGGAACAGAAGUAAGCGAGAGGGGCACAGCCCAGAACGUCAGGUCGAGGUGUAGCAUAUGAAAUGGGAUGAGAUGGGCUACAUUUUCUAACACAGAAUAUCACGAACACGCAACAUGAAACACGUGCCAGAAGGAGGAUUUAGUAGUAAAGGGGAAAUAGAGAGUCCCCUUGAACCCGGCUCUAAGAUGCGUACACACCGCCCGUCACUCCCCCCAGGCUAACUGCAAUAAACAUACUUAAUACCAAAGCACUGCCAAGGGGGGAAAAGUCGUAACAAGGUAAGUGUACCGGAAGGUGCACUUGGAUCAAA